GUCGCUUAUUGGCUAGCGUGUGCGUCACUCACCGCCAGUGGCGACCUCCUCGUGGGUCCCGCCUCCCGCUCCUCCUCUUCGUCCCCGCCCCCUGCUCUGUUUUCUCCCGGUUGCCAGUCCUGUGGGCCUGUCGCCUCCACCAACCAGUCCCCGCUCAGGUGUCACUGUUGCUGGCAGGCCGGGGUUAGGGAAGGAGAAUGGGCAGGGGUCGCGGUUGGGAGGAGAGAGGCCCUACUAUGCCACCCUCAGCCCGAUUUGGCCUCCUCCCCGGCACCGCGCACACACACCCCAUACACCCCGGGCCGCUUUGGCAACCGUGCCUCGUCGGCUGGGUCGAGCCGCAGUGUGGGACCGUGUGGUGGUCACUUAUGUUUCCCACUUGUGCAUCCACACCUUCCGAGGAGGGGCCGCUCUGGAGCGUUGCGGCCCGAAGACUUGGCAGAGCGUGCUGGGAGCUCUAGGACGCUGGAGCAGACUGUCCACCGAGGGGCCACAGAAUGAAGAGCAGGUCUCCCUCUGCAAGACGGUCACCUCACCCAGCGCCUCUCCCCAACCAAGCUCAGCACCAAGGAAUUACAGUACAAACUCAAAAAGGAGUUUUAGGAAUUGACUGCUGACCCUCGAGUGUGGCUUCAGCAGUGUGGCCUGCAAGGAAUAGGAGCUCACACUAGGAGGCAGGUGAGCCUCUAAGGAGGCCUUUUAGCAAAAGGAGACCAUUCUGGGUAUGUCCCUGGCUCAGAGAGACUGUCACUGGCUCCUAAUUCUGCUGCCCAAUUCAGAACCUGGGACAGUUUUGUAGUAACUAGGCAGACAGUACAUUCAAUAAAUAUGUAUCAUGCUCUUUUUAUAUGCCAGAUGCUGUAAUAGGUAAUUUGUGUGGAGUGGGGGUAGGGAGUAUUUGAAAAUGGCCCUUGCGCAUAGGAAAGCCUAGUCCAGUAGAACUGUCAUAAAAAUAUGAGCUCUGAGGGGCCAGUGUAUUUCCUCAGGAAGGGGUUGUUGAAAACAGCCUCCUGAGCACGAGCAGAGCUUGUUGCUAAGGCAGAUUUGGGAAGUUGGUCCUUGGCCAGAUGGCACACAGCGAGGAAGGGAUGCCAAGACCUGUGGGUGAAGAAGAGGGCCUGCUUGUGGCAAGAUCAGGAAACCACGUCCAGGGAUGCUGACUUCCAAUGCCGCAGUGUUCUUUCCCACAUCUUGCAAACAGAGAUGCAGUUGCCACUGUUAUUUGGACACACUUCUCCGGUGUUAAAACACACACACACAAACAAACCUUUGAACCAGGAUCAGAAAGCUCCAAAUGUCAGCACCAUAGAAGGUUUUAUGAUGCAAAUAGGAAAUGCAGGCACACCUUUCAGGCACACCCUUCAGUCCGCUAGGAGUCUGGGACACCUCCUAGCUGAGGUAUGUGUGGGAAAAAAAUGUUGUGAAUCAUAAUACUUUACAACACAUCUUAUUAUCAUCAGGUGUCUUUAAUGCAUGUGUAUGGUUCCACACUGUUGCAACACAGGAUCAUCUUCUUGAUCAAAAUUGAACUCUAAGGAAAACUAGAUAGCAGCAUAUUAACUGAGACUAGUCAUACCCACAUAACUGGCCUACUGAAAUAGCCAAAUCUUCCUUUUUUUUUAAUGUAGAUUUUUUUUUCAGAUUUCCCACUAUCUGUUACCAACCUUUUUUUUUUCAGAAUGCCCAAGCAAUCCUUGAUUAUAUUACCACAGAUUACCUUACACUUGGAAUUUACAUUUUCUAAGAUGUUACUGCAAUUCCUGGAUGUUGACUUUGAUAGUAUCCUCUGAUUGAAGAAAAAGAAAAAAAACCUUGGCAGAAAAAACUUACUGUCUACCAAAUAAUUGUAUUUCCCCAUCUUUAGUAUAUUUCUCUCUGCAAAAUAUUUGCCCAGGUAGGGACUCCAUUUUCCAUUUCCCAGUCUGCACCCGCUUGCAAAUAAGUGGGUCCAUGUGACUAGUUAUGGUGAAUGGAAUGUGGGCUGAAGUGUUUCAUCACUUUCCCAGGAAGGCAGUUAGGCAGCAGAUAACACAUUCUACGGCCUAUGGGUUCCCAUCUUAUAGCUGAAUUCAUGGGCUUCUAGAGGCCAGGAGAAGGGGUGACUCCAAAUGAAAAGAACUGAGUACCUGAGCCAGCACAUGGAGGAAUGUUGCCCGCCUAGUAGGAAAAUCUGCACUGGACUUUACUUGAAUUAAAAAUAAGCUCUUAUUGUGUUGCUCCAUUGAAAUUUAGGGAUAUGUUUGUUAGAGUACCUAGUAUCACCAGAUUAGCACACAGAUGUUAUCAUGUUAGUUCAGAAAGGAAAAUCCAGAAUUAUUUUGUAUCUGUUUUAUGUCAGAACUACCAGAAGACUAAAAAUAUUAUCCUUUAAUACAUGAGCAUCAAUUUUGAUUUUUUGUAAAUGAAUUAUUGAUUUGUCUCUUGUGUUUCAAACAUCUGUUCUGUGCAAAGCGCUGACUAUAUGAUGCACAAAUGUAUAAAGGAUUCUAGAUUUAGUCCUUUUAUUUAAGGAUUGUUACAAAAGAGUUGUACAUAUGCUAUCUUCGCAAACAUUUAGGUGCAAGGUGCUACUUCCUCAAAAUUGAUUAUGAACAUAAAUACGUAUGGAAAAAAUAUUGAGGAUUUGGAGUCAUCUGUGCAUACAAAUGCUCCAAGUCACAGCUUACCUCCACUGGUACCAAUUAUAGUAAAUGAGUAAUAUUUUAGUUUGCUUUUUUAAGCAACUACCAGAUGUAGGAGCUUUUUUUUUUUUAAGAAAAAAAGUAAUGAUAUUUCAUAUUAUAUCCUGUUUUGAGAAUAAACAGCUUUUGAAAUUUUGGACUUUCCUUUGGUUCUCAGAUGAAUUACUAUAUAUAUGUUUUUUUUUUUCUUUU